CCUUCAAAUAGCUAAAAACCUUGUGAGGAGGUUAUGUUACAUUCCCCGGGAAAAAUUGCAUAACUUGAACCAAACAUGGGUAUCUUAUAUUACAAAACAAAU